rnacentral:sRNA from 1 species
AUAUCUCUCUGUACGGGAAGGAUGAGAAGCUUCGACUAAGGUUCGAUUCGAGCGCAGCGAGAAAGCGUUGCCGCAGGCAACGACCCGAAGGGCGAAGCGCGCAGCGCUGAGUCAUCCUUCCCCCA